rnacentral:piRNA from 1 species
UUGACAUUUCUGUGUCCUGAGGAGUUAC